UGAGUACGAGAUGCUACGGCAUCGAAGCAGUCUAUGUCAUACUUCCAAGAAAAGCUUGCACUGUCAGAAACAGAUAAUGCCUGUACCAUAACCGACACAGGUGGGUAGGUAGAGUAUACUAAGGGGCGCGAGAUAACUCUCUCUAAGGAACUCGGCAAAAUGACUCCGUAACUUCGGGAGAAGGAGUGCCUUAUUUUUAAGGUUGCAAUAACAAGAUCCAAGCAACUGUUUACCAAAAACACAGGUCUCCGCUAAGUCGUAAGACGAUGUAUGGGGGCUGACGCCUGCCCAGUGCCAGAAGGUUAAAGAAGUCGGUUAGCAUUCGCGAAGCUGGUAACUGAAGCCCUGGUGAACGGCGGCCGUAACUAUAACGGUCCUAAGGUAGCGAAAUUCCUUGUCGGGUAAGUUCCGACCCGCACGAAAGGCGUAAUGAUUUGGAUACUGUCUCGGAGAGGGGCUCGGUGAAAUAGACUUGUCUGUGAAGAUGCGGACUACCUGCACCUGGACAGAGAGACCCUAUGAAGCUUUACUGUAACUUGAAAUUGAAAUUGGACUUUAUUUGCGCAGUAUAGGUGGGAGGCGUUGAAAAUAUUCUUGCGGGAAUAUUGGAGCCAUCAGUGAGAUACCACUCUUGUAAUGUUAGAUUUCUAACUUUAUAUCAUUAUCUGGUUAAAGAACAGUUUCAGGCGGGCAGUUUGACUGGGGCGGUCGCCUCCCAAAUGGUAACGGAGGCGCACAAAGGUUUCCUCUGAACGGGUAGAAAUCGUAUCUAGAGUGUAAAGGCAUAAGGAAGCUUGACUGUGAGACCUACAAGUCGAGCAGGGACGAAAGUCGGUCUUAGUGAUCUGACGGUGCUGAGUGGAAAGGCCGUCACUCAACGGAUAAAAGUUACUCUAAGGAUAACAGGCUGAUCUCCCCCAAGAGUUCACAUCGACGGGGAGGUUUGGCACCUCGAUGUCGGCUCAUCGCAUCCUGGGGCGGUAGUACGUCCCAAGGGUUGGGCUGUUCGCCCAUGAAAGCGGUACGCGAGCUGGGUUCAGAACGUCGUGAGACAGUUCGGUCCAUAUCCGGUGUAGGCGUUAGAAUAUUGAGAGGAGCCUUCUUUAGUACGAGAGGACCGAGAAGGACAUACCUCUGGUGUACCAGUUAUCGUGCCAACGGUAAACGCUGGGUAGCUAUGUAUGGAGUGGAUAACCGCUGAAAGCAUCUAAGUGGGAAGCCCACCUCAAGAUAAGUAUUCUCAUC
rnacentral:rRNA from 1 species